AACGAACGCUGGCGGCAUGCCUAACACAUGCAAGUCGAACGCCUGUAGCAAUACAGGAGUGGCAGACGGGUGUGUAACACGUGGGAACGUGCCCUUCGGUUCGGAAUAACUCAGGGAAACUUGGGCUAAUACCGGAUACGUCCGCGAGGAGAAAGAUUCAUCGCCGAAGGAUCGGCCCGCGUCCGAUUAGCUAGUUGGUGGGGUAAUGGCUCACCAAGGCGACGAUCGGUAGCUGGUCUGAGAGGAUGAUCAGCCACACUGGGACUGAGACACGGCCCAGACUCCUACGGGAGGCAGCAGUGGGGAAUAUUGGACAAUGGGCGCAAGCCUGAUCCAGCCAUGCCGCGUGGGUGAUGAAGGCCCUAGGGUUGUAAAGCCCUUUCGGCGGGGAAGAUAAUGACGGUACCCGCAGAAGAAGCCCCGGCUAACUUCGUGCCAGCCGCCGCAGUAACAC
rnacentral:rRNA from 1 species